AUUGGUGCCUCAUGCAAGUCAGCUUUGGCUGGCAACACUUUCGAAUUGCGGGAAACCCCUAAGAGCCCUUCACACCAAACCAGCUUGGGAAACCAGCUGGUGGCCCAUUGGAAACCAUGGGGUACGGUAACAGUGGAAGGGAUGAACCCGGCGUCGCAAGGCGCUUGGUGAAAUGGGCAAUCCGCAGCGAAGCCCCUGGUGUUGAUGGUAGCAAUCUCCAAGCCUUGCUUGGACCCGGAUCUGUAGAGGCCCGCCCUCGUACUUGUCCACCGCGCAGCCAAACAUGGGGAACGUUCACAGACUAAGUGGAAGUGGGUGGAGCACAGCUCUGCUUAAGAUAUAGUCGGGCCCCCUUGGAAACAUGGGGGAUUGGUUCAGGAGCAAGCGAGUACUUCGUGCUGAACCCAAAAGCAAACGUUCCGUAGGUGAACCUGCGGAAGGAUCAUUAUCCAUCUCACCAGGUGUGGUUGCGGCCCCCGGGGGCGUGGGCGUCUUCUGGCGUCCUCUCUCCCGGGCGGUAGGGGUAACACCCUCACGCGCCACAUUUCUGAAUCCUUUUUUUACGAGCACCUUUCGUUCUCCUUCGGUGGGGCAACCUGCCGCGGGAACCUAUCAAACUCUUUUGCAUCUAGCAUUACCUGUUCUGAUACAAACAAUCGUUACAACUUUCAACAAUGGAUCUCUUGGCUCUGGCAUCGAUGAAGAACGCAGCGAAAUGCGAUAAGUAGUGUGAAUUGCAGAAUUCAGUGAAUCAUCGAAUCUUUGAACGCACAUUGCGCCCCUUGGUAUUCCAUGGGGCAUGCCUGUUCGAGCGUCAUCUACACCCUCAAGCUCUGCUUGGUGUUGGGCGUCUGUCCCGCCUUUGCGCGUGGACUCGCCCCAAAUGCAUUGGCAGCGGUCCUUGCCUCCUCUCGCGCAGCACAUUUGCGCUUCUCGAGGUGCGCGGGCCGCGUCCACGAAGCAACAUUACCGUCUUUGACCUCGGAUCAGGUAGGGAUACCCGCUGAACUUAAGCAUAUCAAUAA
rnacentral:misc_RNA from 1 species